UGCGCGGCUCCCUUACCGAUUCCUCCUCCUUCUCCAUGCCCGUGGGCAUCUGCGGCACCGCCCGGUUGAUGGAGACGCAGUCGUUGAGGUGACAGAGCCCUGAGAGACUUAACGCUUGACUUCCCUGCUAAAAAGGUGUGAUUUUGUACCUGGAGGUAACCACAAGCAUGAGUGAUCCCAAGCUCUCUACAUGUAGGUAUUUGGCUGUGAAGAGCAUCCAGAAGCUUCAGGGAAAGCAGAAGGCAGGUAGGCAGCAUUCCCAGCUGCAAGGGGUCUUGCUUGGGGCUGCUGGAAGUGGGACGCAGGGGGCAUCACAUGCAUAUGUGCACCCAGAAAUGUAGCCAGGCAGCAAGGAGAACAGCUCCCUGCAGGUAAAUGGUAAAUGUUUGAAUGAGCUGUGAGGAACCUAAGCUGACCUACAUACUUUAAAAUAAGUACCUCAGCAUCUAUUUUCUAUAACUCCACAUGUAAUCAUCCUGGAAAGCCUCUCAAUACAACAUGAACUCUAAAAUGUAUCCCUUUCCUUGCCAUCAUUCAAAGCUUUUUACCCUAUCCUAAAAGAGAGAUCUUCUUUCAGGCUUUCCAAACCAGUUUUAUACCUAUUUUUUUGCUUCAGAUAUGGGUGGAAUGCGCCAUAACAAACCCUUUAUUCAUACCAAAUGUUUUUAUCAUCAGACUCUUGCAGAAAAACAAGCUGCAUCCGGCUCUUUUCUCUGUAGGGAGCAGGUCAUAUAAUAGCAUAACUCCAUGAAUGCACUCUUAGCUUACUUAUGUCAAGGCUGCUUUAGGCCUUGUAGGCCUAAAGGACCAUUUUAUUCCUGUCAAACGUCUUCACAGUUGUUUAUACUUUUAUAAUAGAAUAAAUGUCAUCCAUUAUUUAUUAAAUUAAAAAAAAAAAAAGAGAGCGAGAAACAUGUUUGUGCCUUUUUACUAAGGCUUUGUCUACUCUACAAAGGGUUUGCCAGCACAGCUAGUGAAGAUGCAGUUUAUAUUACCAAAAGAGUCCUUUUCCUAGUGUAACAUAUGUAGUUGUCCCAUCCACCCCCGACCUGCAAGCCUGUGAACCAGAGGUCAAAACCCACAUGGGUCCAAAGGGUCAUUGCCUGGGAGAGAGGAUGCACAAAGGAGCUUAGGUUCAUGCAAGUCGCACAGAGGUACGGCAACUUACCCGGUUCCCAGGUAGGGGAAGUUAGCUGGAUCUAAUAGAGGAAGGAAGAAACAGAAAGUUACCUUGAGUAGACUGGGUGGGAGCUCUGAACAUGGAGGGAACAUGGCAUCCUAGUGAGUGUGGCAGCUGAUGGCCAAUUAUCUGCAGAGAAGGGAGAAGUGUGUAAGCAUUAGCAUGGGCAAUCCUGCUUAGGCGGCUCCUGUCAAUGUUGGGUGGACAGGGAACAGGGUCAAGGGAUUUUUGUAGAUUGGGCAAAGUUCCCCGCAGCAGUGGAUCAGAAUAGACUUUGUUAAAAGAGAGUUAAGAAACAAAGACUCUUGACUGGUGGAGGGUACAGAAAGGAGGCAUGGUAAAGAUCCUGCACAGGAAUAGGACUGUUGAGCUUGAAGGCUAAACAUUGACUCACCGGACACUGGGGUAUGAGCCUGGGAGAUUGUGAAGUUUGACCCAAGCUAGAUCUGGGAUUAAUAUCUGUGUGAUCAGUUAAGAGUAACUAGAGAUACCUCUGGAGUGUGUAGAUGCACCAGGGAGAAAGAUGGAUAAGUAUUUCAUCAAUAACCAUCUGUGGAGUGGUAUGCACAGGGUCUAGGGGAAGAGGAGUCCUGUAAAGAGGCUAAAAGCCACUACCUGGUUUGGAGAGGGACAGAAGACCACACCUCCCAAUGUUCAUUUUCUCUUUUCAUUAUUUUCUUCUUAACAUCAAAGGCGUGGCAGGCAAGUAUGAAGGAGAACCAGUGUAGAACUGGGUAGAACAGGUUCAACCUCUAUUUAAAAAAAGGGGUAGUUCUGAACUACUACAAUACAGUAUGAAUGAUUUGAUUGUAUAUCUUAAAAAUAUGAUUA